AACGAACGCUGGCGGCAUGCCUAACACAUGCAAGUCGAACGAGACCUUCGGGUCUAGUGGCGCAGGGCUGCGUAACGCGUGGGAACCUGCCUUUAGGUUCGGAAUAACUCAGAGAAGUUUGAGCUAAUACCGGUGGGUGUCUUCGGACCAAAGAUUUAUCGCCUUUAGCUGGGCCCGCGUUGGCUUCGCUAGUUGGUGGGGUAAAGGCCUAGCAAGGCGACGAUCCAUAGCUGGUCGGAGAGGAUGAUCCGCCACACUGGGACUGAGGCACGGCCCAGACUCGUAGGGAAGGGAGGAGUGGGGAAUACUGGACGAUGAGGGAAAGCGUAGUCCAGCAGCGCCGGGUGAGUGAGGAAGGGGUUAGGGUUGUAAAGCUCUUUUACACGAGGUGAUAAUGACAGUAACGGGAGAAUAAGCUCCGGCUAACUCCGUG
rnacentral:rRNA from 1 species